AGAACGAACGCUGGCGGCAGGCUUAACACAUGCAAGUCGAACGGUUGUAGCAAUACAGCAGUGGCAGACGGGUGAGUAACACGUGGGAACCUUCCUAGGGGUACGGAACAACUCAGGGAAACUUGAGCUAAUACCGUAUACGUCCGUGAGGAGAAAGAUUUAUCGCCCCUAGACGGGCCCGCGUAGGAUUAGGUAGUUGGUGAGGUAACGGCUCACCAAGCCUACGAUCCUUAGCUGAUCUGAGAGGAUGAUCAGCCACACUGGGACUGAGACACGGCCCAGACUCCUACGGGGAGCAGCGAGGUAGGGGAUCGUUAGG
rnacentral:rRNA from 1 species